AGAGUUUGAUCAUGGCUCAGGAUGAACGCUGGCGGCGUGGAUAAGGCAUGCAAGUCGAACGGUGUAGCGUAGCAAUACGUUACACAGUGGCGAACGAGUUAGUAACAUCUUGGUAUCUACCUUUAAGCCGGGCACAACCAGUCGAAAGAUUGGCUAAUUCCCGAUGGUCUCGCAAGAGUAAAGACGCAAGUCACUUAGAGAGGAGCCUAGAUCCUAUCAGCUUGUUGGCGGGGUAAUGGCCCACCAAGGCUAUGACGGGUAGGGGGUGUGAGAGCACGACCCUCAACGACGAAACUGAGAUACGGUUCGUACACCUACGGGUGGCAGCAGUCGAGGAUAUUCGACAAUGGGCGAAAGCCUGAUCGAGCGACGCCGCGUGCAGGAAGAAGGGCUUCGGCCUGUAAACUGCUUUUGCGUGGGAAGAAUUUUGACGGUACCACGAGAAUAAGGGGUUGCUAACCUCGUGCCAGCAGCAGCGGUAAUACGAGGACCCCGAGCGUUAUCCGGAAUUACUGGGCGUAAAACGUGAGCAGCCGGCUUUGCUAGUCCGAUGUUAAAUCUCAUUGCUCAACGAUGAGACCGCGUUGGAAACGGCAUAGCUAGAACAGGUGAGAGGCAAGCGGAACGUGCAGUGUAGGGGUGAAAUCCAUUGAUAUUGCACGGAACACCAAAAGCGAAAGCAGCUUGCUAGCGCUCUGUUGACGGUCAAUCACUAAAGCGUGGGGAUCAAAAAGGAUUAGAUACCCUAGUAGUCC
rnacentral:rRNA from 1 species